UACAGAGGGGGCAAGCGUUGUUCGGAAUUACUGGGCGUAAAGGGCGCGUAGGUGGCCUUCUAAGUCAUGCGUGAAAUCCCCGGGCUCGACCCGGGAACUGCGUCUGAUACUGGAAGGCUUGAAUCCGGGAGAGGGAUGCGGAAUUCCAGGUGUAGCGGUGAAAUGCGUAGAUAUCUGGAGGAACACCGGUGGCGAAGGCGGCAUCCUGGACCGGUAUUGACACUGAGGCGCGAAAGCCAGGGGAGCAAACGGG
rnacentral:rRNA from 1 species